UGCAAAUGAAGUCUACAGUGCAACCGGACAAAGAGGUUCUAGCCGUACGUGCGGCAUCUUAUGCCUCCUUCAGGAAGCUGAGGCUUCUCCGCCGGUCAGUGGAGCGUGACUGAAUGAUUUGAAGCAGUACGGUGACUUCAGACUGGCUGACUCUCGGAAAGCAACCCCAGGUAGAACACGGAAAAUGGAAAAAGAAAAAGAUGCUAGAAUUUCAAGGAGGCCACUCAGUGGCUAAGUCGUCUCUAAUGGGUCCUGUCUCAGAAACGACGUCCGCUGGUGUCCUACAUAUAUCUCUGUGGUUGUACAGCUUACAUCAGGCUCCAUGCUGAGAAUAAAUACACAAGCAAGUUCUUUAAAGUUUUCAGAGAACAAUUACAACACCUAGAACUUGAUGCUCGAAGAAGUCAAGGGAUUUGGAGGUGGAAAUCAGGAGACCACGCUGCAAUUUCCUUCAAGGCACCUGCUGAGUCUUAAAUUGCGUGAGACAGGCAGCAAAGGCCUAUGAGAGAGGUAUUUCAAACAUGAUCUCCAGGCUGGCUUUGUGGCAGGCGUCUUCCCGUCUCAGCUUCCUGAGUGCUGAGAAUACAGAUGCAAGCUUGUUCUGCACGGAGCCCCAGUCCUGUACUCCAGCGAAUAGCCUAUUGCCUUCAUCACAGUGUCUAUCCGUUCAUAGGUACCUCAGUCCAGGGGCUGGAGAGAAGGCUUAAGAGCUAAAAUGCUUGUGUGCAAGCAUGAGACUCUGAGUCCAGACUGUAGCAUCCAUUUGAAAAACAGAAUGUUAGCGCAUGCUGUAAUUCCUGACCUGGAGCUGGAGAUAAGAGGAAUCUGGGGGCUCACUGGUUGACCAGUAUAGCCUAUUUGUGAGUUCCAUUUUCAAUGAGAAGGCCUUUC